GACGUAGGGCGCGAGCGUUGUCCGGAUUUAUUGGGCGUAAAGAGCUCGUAGGCGGCUCGUUGCGUCGGCUGUGAAAACCCGCAGCUCAACUGUGGGCUUGCAGCUGAUACGGGCGGGCUGGGAUUCGGUAGGGGAGACUGGAAUUCCUGGUGUAGCGGUGAAAUGCGCAGAUAUCAGGAGGAACACCGGUGGCGAAGGCGGCACUCUGGGCCAGUACUGACGCUGAGGAGCGAAAGCGUGGGGAGCGAACAGG
rnacentral:rRNA from 1 species